rnacentral:lncRNA from 10 species
CAGAUGGGCCAGGCUGUGUGGAGCAAGAAAGUUUCAGUUCCUUUUUCUCCCACCUCAAGCCUAGUGUAUGGUAACAUUACACAGAGAGCCAUAAAAAAGUUCUUUCUUGUAGCACAUUUCAGGGUUUUUUCCAGUGACAUCAUGGGCCAUCUGGAUUUGAAGACAGCAGCCUCAUCCAGAACACACACACACGCACUCUCCCCUGCCAGGCCCUGCAGGUCUGCCCUCUAGGAUCAGGAGCACUAUAAACGUCCUGUAAAGCUGUCUUUUUAAUAGCCUCCUCAGAAGCAGCCUAAGGAAGAUGGUCUUUUCCUCCUGCAGUCCCAUGGAUGGCAGAUAAAGUGGAUUCUCAGCACAGAAGCCUCAGAGGAGAAGUGCCUUCUACAGUGUAGGUGUACAGCAAGCAUGGAAUGAAUAUUGCAAUUGGGUAGAAGCAGAGCUAAAGAAGGAAUAAGGCCUGGAGCUCACUCUGCCUGUGUCCGAGAACACCUUGAAACGUUCUCUACAUGGAUUUCACUCAUAUUACACAUCCUCCCUUUGGAGGGACAGCAUCGUGCCAUGAUAGGAAAUACCUCCAAAAAAGUGUAGCUCCCUUCCACAGAAAAGCUGCUGGUUUCAUGGCCAGCCCUGAUCUUGUGAAACACCUUGCCAACUGAGCUGGAGAGGGCACAGAAGUAGCUUCAAGUGAAUGCAAUUUCAUGGAGGUUGAGGGCAAAAACAAAAUUGAACACAGUUGGAAGAUAAAUUGCAGGGAGGACACUGCAGCAGUGUGUACCACUUUACCCCAAAGCUUGAGAGUGAAGAAGAGAGAAAUAGGAGGAUCAUUCAAGAACAAAGAAACCAGUCCCUGCUGUCAAAAAGGUUGGCAUCACUGAGUUAGACUGUGUCCAGAAUUGAUGGGUUCUUCGUCUUGCUGACUUGAAGAAUGAAGCACGGACCUCGCAGUGAGUGUUACAGUUCUUAAAGAUGGUAU